GGUAAUCAUAUAGUUUAUUGUGUUUAUUAACUAUUAUAACUAUGUAGAAGUAAAUACAAAAUGGUGAAUUUGUUGUUUUAUGAGUUUUUAUGCAUAAUUGGUUAUUGAAAAUGGUUUUAGCAUGAACAUUAGUUUAUGGAAUAUUCCAUUUAUAAUCCAUCGAUAUGAUAGGUCCCACUUGUUUUUCUUUAGAAUAAUAAAUGACCUACUUAACUCAGUGGUUAGAGUAUUGCUUUCAUAUAGCAGGAGUCAUUGGUUCAAAUCCAAUAGUAGGUAUAGGUAGAACUUUUUAGCUCCCAGAGUCAAUGGGUAUCUAAUAAGUUUUUUUAGUUUGAAUCAUCCCCUCCCGCCCAACUGUGUUAGAGUUUCUCUACUUGUUGCCAUCGACCUCAACUAUCCAUUGCCUAUUCCUAUUGAUGAGGCACAGAUGGUGGGGGAAGCAGUAAGGAGCUUUGUUGUAUGGCUUAGCCACCUUGUAAUAGUGGAACACCAAAGCCGGAAAAGGACCCAUUACUUCCAAAGAAAAAGCUGAAAGGGAAGAGCAAGCUAAAAGGUAAGUCGGGCCAUACCAAAAAGUCAGCCAUAGUUUUACAAUAUCUAACAGCACCAGUGCUAGUUGUAGAAUACAAAUACUGUGCCUCUCUUGAGACAUAUGUGAUGGCUACGAGGAUGGCUAGUCAAGUGGCGAUUGGGGAUAUCAUUAGUUUUGAUGAUGGGCUAUAUGGAAGACCGGGCUUGUUUGAAGUUUUCUAAGAUGAAAAUUUAAAUGAAAUUCUCAAGCAUGAAAUGGCCAGUACUAGUCUGAUGAGCUUCUACAUGAGCCACCUUUAUACCUCAUUUAUGGUUCCCGGUGGCCUUGAGUCAAGAUUCAAGCUGAUUAAUCCCCACGAUAUCUCUACCUAUAAUGGAAUUACAAAGGAAGCCCUUGAAGAUCAAGCAAGGUAGCUUUUGGAUCAAUUUAAGGAUAGGGGAGCAAGCAAUGAUACUUUAUUUUUUGCUCCUUACUACCAAGGGAAAAUGCGACAUAGAUGGCGCACGACCGGAGGUUCCAGCCAUCAGGGUGGGAACCGGAUGGAAUGGGAGUCACCACUAAAAUUUUGAGGGAAAUCUUGGGAAACCAAUUAAAGGAGAAUAAGGAUGGUUUGCAAAAAUAAAAAAUAGAUUCGAGAGUCAAUUGAGUGUGGGGAAGGUAUUAAGCACCCCACAACACCCGUUUGUUAGAAUGGUUACCUGAAGUUUGGUGUGCUAAAUUAAUAUGGUUUUAAAGUUAUUUUAAUUGUCCCUUUCUUGUUCAUGUGUUUGAUAUAAAAAUGAUGAUA